AGUGAACGCUGGCGGUAGGCCUAACACAUGCAAGUCGAACGGCAGCACAGUAAGAGCUUGCUCUUACGGGUGGCGAGUGGCGGACGGGUGAGGAAUACAUCGGAAUCUACUUUUUCGUGGGGGAUAACGUAGGUAAACUUACGCUAAUACCGCAUACGACCUACGGGUGAAAGCAGGGGAUCUUCGGACCUUGCGCGAUUGAAUGAGCCGAUGUCGGAUUAGCUAGUUGGGGGGGUAAAGGCCCACCAAGGCGACGAUCCGUAGCUGGUCUGAGAGGAUGAUCAGCCACACUGGAACUGAGACACGGUCCAGACUCCUACGGGAGGCAGCAGUGGGGAAUAUUGGACAAUGGGCGCAAGCCUGAUCCAGCCAUACCGCGUGGGUGAAGAAGGCCUUCGGGUUGUAAAGCCCUUUUGUUGGGAAAGAAAAGCAGCAGGUUAAUACCCCGCUGUUCUGACGGUACCCAAAGAAUAAGCACCGGCUAACUUCGUG
rnacentral:rRNA from 1 species